rnacentral:rRNA from 1 species
CUACGGGCUGCUCCAGUGGGGAAUAUUGCACAAUGGGCGCAAGCCUGAUGCAGCCAUGCCGCGUGUAUGAAGAAGGCCUUCGGGUUGUAAAGUACUUUCAGCGGGGAGGAAGGGAGUAAAGUUAAUACCUUUGCUCAUUGACGUUACCCGCAGAAGAAGCACCGGCUAACUCCGUGCCAGCAGCCGCGGUAAUACGGAGGGUGCAAGCGUUAAUCGGAAUUACUGGGCGGUAAAGCGCACGCAGGCGGUUUGUUAAGUCAGAUGUGAAAUCCCCGGGCUCAACCUGGGAACUGCAUCUGUAACGGGAAGGCUGAGUUUUGGUGGAGGGGGGUAGAUUUCCAGUGUUGCGGUGAAAUUGCGUGGGGUGCUGAGGGAAUACCGGUGCGGAGGCCGGCCCCCUGGACGAAGCCGACGCCUCAGGUCGGAAGCCUUGGGGACAAACCGGGUUUAAAACCCCCGUAGUC